rnacentral:rRNA from 1 species
GACGAACGCUGGCGGCGUGCUUAACACAUGCAAGUCGAACGAAGAGCGAUGGAAGCUUGCUUCUCUCAAUCUUAGUGGCGAACGGGUGAGUAACGCGUAAUCAACCUGCCCUUCAGAGGGGGACAACAGUUGGAAACGACUGCUAAUACCGCAUACGAUCUAAUCUCGGCAUCGAGGAUAGAUGAAAGGUGGCCUCUACAUGUAAGCUAUCACUGAAGGAGGGGAUUGCGUCUGAUUAGCUCGUUGGAGGGGUAACGGCCCACCAAGGCGAUGAUCAGUAGCCGGUCUGAGAGGAUGAACGGCCACAUUGGGACUGAGACACGGCCCAGACUCCUACGGGAGGCAGCAGUGGGGAAGCUUCCGCAAUGGACGAAAGUCUGACGGAGCAACGCCGCGUGAGUGAGGACGGCCUUCGGGUUGUAAAGCUCUGUUAAUCGGGACGAAAGGCCUUCUUGCGAAUAGUGAGAAGGAUUGACGGUACCGGAAUAGAAAGCCACGGCUAACUACGUG